rnacentral:tRNA from 1 species
GGAUUAUGGCUUAGCGGUGGAGUGCUUGCCUAGCACAGAAGGGACCUGGGUUCGAUCCUCAGCACCA